AGAAGCUUCUAUCGCUUCACUCCAGUAUAGUAUGCGCAAGCUAAACAUUAUCCGGUUGCACAUUUAAAGCUAUAUACAUCUAAAGUAAUCCAGGGGGGUGGCCCCAAAGGAGUUCAACUCUUGCGACAAUAUGUUUUCCGUCAACCAGACCUGCUCAUCCAUGUGCCCCACGCCGAAGGACAUAUACAAGCGAAUGUGCAGGAUUGCUCAACUACGUGAAAUGCAUUUCAUCGUAUCUUCCUUAUAUCCUCAUUCUGUAGUGAUCAUCUGUUUACAUUUAUGGGCCAAAAGGAUGGGAUGUCUAAAUUAAUUUUUUGUUGAAAAAUUGAAAGUCUUUGCAGAUCCCUAUAAGUUACAGUGAAGUAUUUGAAAAUACCGCAUUGGGUGUCAUGGUGAAUGCGUAAAUCAAAGAGUACCAAUGCGGUGAAAAUUUUAAGCUUUAAAAAAACGAAAGGAUGUUACAGGAAUAAUAAUUAAGUGGAAGCUGUGAAAUUUAAAAGUUAAAAGAGUAAAACAAUAUUAAGUUUCAAUAAAAUAAGGUAGGGUGAAAUGUCAAAUACAAGUCCAAUGCGGCGCAAAAUCGGUACGUAGAGCGCGCAGCACAUCUGCUAUCUCUUUUUUACCGACAGCGGGUUCUUUGUAUGCAAAUGAUAAUUUCAGAAAUAUUCAAUUAACUUGCGAAGUCAGGAGUUUAUUUUUGGAAAAAGGCUGUUUUGCUAAAAUGUAAACGUAGUAUUUACCAUAUUGUUUUCUAUAUUAGUGCUUCCGAAUAUUUAUUUACGCAAGUAUUUUCCGGAGUGGAAAUUCCCGCUGAACACGAAUGUCGUAUUUAUUUUCAAAUUAAUUCACGUUUAAUUGUUCUUUUUAGGUUGAUAUACAUAAUGGUGCGUAAUUAUAUACGGAAAACGAAGCUUAUUGACCAAGAAAUUGGUGAUCAUAUGAAGAAAAUUGGUUAAACCUAAGAUUCUAGUUCAGACGAAUUUUAAUGCAAUAAUUGAUAUUAACACAUUAACGCCUGAAACUGAAAAAUGUUGUAUUCAUUUUCAAGCUAUGUUUUUAUCAUCAAACUAAAUAAUAUUUUUUACCGGAGUUUCAGGCGUUAAUGGGUUAAGAAAAUGUUCAAAACAUAUUGUUAAUACUUGGUGUAUCAAUAUUGAAUAGUCUAAAUCCAAUAAAAUAAAAAAAACGAAAAUUUACUGAGAGAGAAGGACUCAACUUGGCUUCCAAAAUAAGGGUGAAAAAUAUAUAGUACGACAAUAAAAUUUUAUCUAUUCUCUUACGAAAACUCAGUAUAAAAGGACUACAUUUUCAUGGAGAGAUCAGGAGUGGGAUUACAAAUAACGACAGCGCUACAAAGAUUUCGCUACGUAGCGAUUCAAAGCUACUUUCACUUUAAAAAAAUUUUUAUCUAUCGGAUGACUCAAAAAAAUGGUACCAUUUUGAUAGAUUUAGAAUGUAUUGAAUUCAUAAGGAUUUUUCCACGAUGAAGAAAUGAAGCAAUUAAAAGAAAUAUCUAAAAGCCUGAAAAGUUUUUUAAGUGUAACACGUCAAAUCUCAAAAGUUAUAAAAAGGCAAUUCGAGGCAACGAUAAUUAUUAAUAUUAUUAUAUUAACACUUUUAUUUCUGAAUUUAAACCUUAAAGUUUUUUAUAAUUAAUAAUUAUAAACUAAAUAAAACAUAAUAUAAAGGAGA